GCUGGGUAUGGUGGUGCACACCUGUAAUCCCAGCAACUUGGGAAGCUAAGGCAGGAGGAUCACAAGUGUGAGACCCUGUCUCAA
rnacentral:sRNA from 1 species